rnacentral:lncRNA from 1 species
CUUAUUAUAAUGAUAUAAAAGAGAGAUAGAUUGAAUUUGAUAAAAUUGUUAAGUAGGAUUAGGUUGAACAAAGCAGAGAAGGGGUUGUUGUAAUGACAUAAUCAAUCAGAAAAUUAUGAUAUGGAAAUAAUUAAUGAAAAGACAAUGUACCAAACCAUUAUAAUUUAAGAUGAAAAUAGAAAGAUUAUUUUAACACGGAAUCUUGGAGAUGAACCACUCCAUCACCACAAUAGGAGCCUUGAUGAGCGCCAGAGCAAACUCUACUAUGAUGGUCACGCAAAGACAACAAGGACAUAUGCACGUCAAAAUCAACCUUCAAAGAAUCAAAAUCAAAAGGGUAUUUCAAAUUUCAUCAUAGAUUAUCAAAUUCAGAAUUUAGCAGAGAAAGAAGAGAAGCUUACCCAACAAUCCAAACAAGCACACCCACAAGGGAGAUGAAAAGAGACAAGAAGGCAAAAGGCAGGCCCAACAGAAACCCAAGUGGCCUGCAUUUACAGUCUUCAGAGCAGCAGCACAUUCUUCAAAUAAUUAAUAUCUUCUUAAUUCAUCUUCUCAUUCAUAUGCUUACUAUAUAUAUACAUAUAUAUGUUGAAGCUUUUAUCUUAUCGAGAAGUUGAAUGCAACAUGAAGUAGAGCAGAGAAGAGAAUUAGGUGCCGGUUAGCCACCUGCACUGAUCCUAUUGCUAGAAAGAGUGGGGUUGAUUAGCAUACCAAAACUCCCUUAUUCAACGUUUUUGUUGUAUUUUAUUGGGAAAGUAAUCAAACGUGGCAGUUUCAAAUAGUUGACUGUGAGGCCUGUCUGCGUCGCCAUGCUAAGAUCGAAUCAUUCAGUGAUCUGUUCAACUUGGGGCGUUAUCAUCUUUAUCAAGAUAAAUACCACACCCAACAUGUCUGCAAUUUCAUUCACACAUUUCUUCAAACAAUUACAAGCCCUG